CAAUAACAAUAUUUAUAUAUAAAAGAACGUAUUUAGUUAUGCUACUAUUAUUACAUAUAUAUAAAUAAACUUACCGCUAAAUUACGGACAGUGACAGAAGGACCAACAAUAAUUUCCAACACACAAAGGAAUAAACAAACGCGUGUGUAUGUAGUUGACUGGUAUCCGUUUUCACUCUUCGAAUCAUAAACGCAAGUCUCAGAAGUCGUGAACCAGCCAUGUGUAAUUGAAUCGACGCGUCCAUUUCAUAACACGCUAAGAUUAGGGGUGUCAGCUUGGUUAAUGCAUCAUUUCUUAUUUAAGUUCUAAUCAGCGGUUGUAGGCGUUUAUAAUAACAAACAUUUCGUAAGCUUUAUACAAAUGUUAAAAAGUUUUAUUAAUCCAUUCAUUUUAAUAGUCGGUAGAUACUACAAUAUUUAAGAAUGUAGCGACUGAUCACCCGCCACCCCGUGUACAAAUAAUGAAAGCAUCAAAUUCAAAACGCGAGGUUUUUGUGUAGUGUGUAUAACCAACUACGGCUGCAGAAUAUACAGAGUCUCUGGUGUUGAUGGAAAGGAUUGUUUACCUAGAGGCAGCUUGGUAUGACAUGUUGCAAAGCAUUCUGUUUGAUUAACAGAUAAUAGAUACUGCAGACACUAAGCAAAUUAUACUUACCUAGCAGUUGCAGUAUUCCAGCCAUGGAGUCAUAAUCUUAGAAUAAAGGUCUCGGUGUUUAGGUGAAUCUGAGGAAAGUCCAAAAUAUUGCAACUGUUCCAGUUGUUAAAAUUGUAAGCAAAGACGUAUGCUGGCUUUAACACAUCAACAAGACAACAAAACACUCAUUUCAUAUGCUGGCUCCAGUGAUGUUAAUUCAGCUGCAGAUACUUCUGUUCUCAAAUAUGUAUCGACAGUACCUGUGUCAGAUGUACUGGCAAACAUGUUAUAUCUUCAUUUUUGUCGAGCCCGCUUGCGGAAGCAAAGAUAGAUGUCCAAAUGGCUGUUCUGUGUAUGUGCGUGUGUGCGUCCGUCCGUCCGUCAGGAUUUGUUUGUCCGGACCAUAACUUUGAUAUGC
rnacentral:lncRNA from 1 species